rnacentral:lncRNA from 1 species
GCCUGCAGAUUAAUUAUUUUCACAUUUUUAUAUUUGUAGUACAAGUGCAAUUACUAUUUGUUAGAAGUACAAUCACUAAUGUGCUACAACGACUUUCUUAUCUAGAUCUUACGCCACAGAAUAAUCUACCCUAAACAUGAAUGAAAAUAUUGUAAACAAGCAUGAAUGAAAAUAUUGUAAACAAGCAUGAAUGAAAAUAAGUCCUGCAAGUAGGUGAUUCUCAAACAUGUAGUUAGGUACCAAUUAC